rnacentral:rRNA from 1 species
UAGUCCACGCUGUAAACGAUGAAGACUCGCUGUUGGCGAUACACAGCCAGUGGCCAAGCGAAAGCGUUAAGUCUUCCACCUGGGGAGUACGAUCGCAAGAUUGAAACUCAAAGGAAUUGACGGGGGUCCGCACAAGCGGUUGAGCAUGUGGUUUAAUUCGAUGAUACGCGAGGAACCUUACCAGGGCUUAAAUGUAGAUUGACAGGUUUAGAGAUAGACUUUUCUUCGGACAAUUUACAAGGUGCUGCAUGGUUGUCGUCAGCUCGUGCCGUGAGGUGUCAGGUUAAGUCCUAUAACGAGCGCAACCCCUGUUGUUAGUUGCCAGCGAUUCAAGUUGGGAACUCUAACAAGACUGCCAGUGCAAACUGAGAGGAAGGUGGGGAUGACGUCAAAUCAUCACGGCCCUUACGUCCUGGGCUACACACGUGCUACAAUGGUAGGUACAGAGAGCAGCCACUGCGCGAGCAGGAGCGAAUCUAUAAAACCUAUCAC